AAAAAGACAAACCCUGGGUUUCCGUGUCCAACUUUAACUGUCCGUCUUAUAUGAAAUUUUUUUAUAAUUUGUAUUUUUAUUGUUGUUAGAUGAUAAAAUAUGAUUAAUACUUUGUACGUGACUUGUCUUUUUAAUUUUUUUUAUAUUUUUUUUAAAUAAGACGGACGGUCAAAUAUUAGACAUAGAAGUCAGGGUUUAUCUUUUU
rfam:Oryza sativa Japonica Group DNA, chromosome 5, cultivar: Nipponbare, complete sequence.